AGCAGCCGCGAUAAUUCCAGCUCCAAUAGCGUAUAUUAAAGUUGUUGCAGUUAAAAAGCUCGUAGUUGAAUUUCGGGGUCAAUACGUCGGUCGUGCCUCGGUACGCACUGACGUUAUUGAUCCCUCCCUUCUGACGAACCGUGAUGUCAUUAAUUUGGUGUUGCGGGGAAUCAGGACUGUUACCUUGAAAAAUUAGAGUGUUUAAAGCAGGCAAUCGCUCGAAUACAUUAGCAUGGAAUAAUGAAAUAGGACGUUCGAACCUAUUUUGUUGGUUUCUAGGAUCGACGUAAUGAUUAAUAGGGAUAGCUGGGGGCAUUAGUAUUCAAUUGUCAGAGGUGAAAUUCUUGGAUUUAUUGAAGACUAACUACUGCGAAAGCAUUUGCCAAGGA
rnacentral:rRNA from 1 species